UCUCUGAAAAUUAACAUGUGACCAAAUCAUUUCACCUCUGGUAGCAGAGAUGUAUGAGACUAUACUCUUCUGUAAUGCCAGAAAAACAUAAUCCAAUUUAGUAGAGGCAAAGAAAGAAAAGGAUGGUGAUAAAUUUCUACAUAAAUGCUCAUGUUGGCAUGAGAUCAUCUACAGUCCUCUUAUUUGUCAAAUAAAGAGAUGGAGAUUCAGGGAGUUAGAGUCACUUUCUAUCACAAAGUCUGUAGCAGAAUCAAGACUCAAGCCCAGGUCUUCAGAACAAAGCUUAGUACGUUAUAUCACACUUUUCUCCUGGCUUCCAUUUCUGAGACUCACCAAAAGCUUCAAGACCAGAGAACAUAAUUUGCCAUCUUAUACUUAGAAAAUUCCAUCAGUUUUUCUGCACUAAUUACGGGUCCUUUGGAUGAAGAUAGUAACAUAAAACUGGCAGUAUUUUUCAUGGAAGAAGAUUUAUGCAUCACUGCAUUUGGAUUCAACAAAAUUUCUCUGUAAUGCUUCCUCAGAUGUCAGUCAAUGGGAUUUUCUCAUAGGUAAG